rnacentral:rRNA from 1 species
AGCUACAGGCUUAACACAUGCAAGUCGAGGGGCAGCAUGAACUUAGCUUGCUAAGUUUGAUGGCGACCGGCGCACGGGUGAGUAACACGUAUCCAACCUGCCGAUGACUCGGGGAUAGCCUUUCGAAAGAAAGAUUAAUACCCGAUGGCAUAAUUCUUCCGCAUGGUAGAACUAUUAAAGAAUUUCGGUCAUCGAUGGGGAUGCGUUCCAUUAGGUUGUUGGCGGGGUAACGGCCCACCAAGCCUUCGAUGGAUAGGGGUUCUGAGAGGAAGGUCCCCCACAUUGGAACUGAGACACGGUCCAAACUCCUACGGGAGGCAGCAGUGAGGAAUAUUGGUCAAUGGACGAGAGUCUGAACCAGCCAAGUAGCGUGAAGGAUGACUGCCCUAUGGGUUGUAAACUUCUUUUAUACGGGAAUAAAGUGAGGCACGUGUGCCUUUUUGUAUGUACCGUAUGAAUAAGGAUCGGCUAACUCCGUGCCAGCAGCCGCGGUAAUACGGAGGAUCCGAGCGUUAUCCGGAUUUAUUGGGUUUAAAGGGAGCGUAGGCGGACGCUUAAGUCAGUUGUGAAAGUUUGCGGCUCAACCGUAAAAUUGCAGUUGAUACUGGGUGUCUUGAGUACAGUAGAGGCAGGCGGAAUUCGUGGUGUAGCGGUGAAAUGCUUAGAUAUCACGAAGAACUCCGAUUGCGAAGGCAGCUUGCUGGACUGUAACUGACGCUGAUGCUCGAAAGUGUGGGUAUCAAACAGGAUUAGAUACCCUGGUAGUCCACACAGUAAACGAUGAAUACUCGCUGUUUGCGAUAUACAGUAAGCGGCCAAGCGAAAGCGUUAAGUAUUCCACCUGGGGAGUACGCCGGCA